GCGGUGCGCAAUAGACUUACCUCCACAUGGUGCACCCUGGGCAACGUAUAAUUAUACGGCAAAAAAGUCUAU
rfam:Hymenolepis nana genome assembly, scaffold: HNAJ_contig0000410